rnacentral:ncRNA from 1 species
AUUCACAGAAGAAAAAACACAAUCCGGUAGGUAGUCCGGAUGUAGAUUAUAUCUAGCAGUAACCGGCCUCCAUGGUUGUCCAUCUUCUGAACUAUUUUA